rnacentral:lncRNA from 10 species
AAAUACUUCUGUGCCUGCAAGACAGUUAUGUUGAGAGGACAAGGAGGUGUCAACAGGGAGAGGCAUGACCUCAUUUGCAGCUUCACGAAUGAAAGAUCAUGUCUGGAUUAAGGAGGGGAGGAUUACCCGGGCAAGAUUUGCAAGUAGAUUUCACUCACAUGCUGCCCUAUAAAUGGCUCUGCUAUCUUCUAGUCUUUGUUUGUACUUUCUCCUGGUGGGUAGAAGCAUUCCCAACAACUUCAGAAGGUGCAAAUGUCAUAACAGAAACUCUCAUCAUACAUAUAGUUAC